rnacentral:lncRNA from 1 species
AACUAUUAAAGACUAAAUGUGUACAAAAUGAAAAAUAUAUUACCAUAUUAAGUCAUUUUUCCGGCUAACCAAGAGUAAACGGUUAUAAAAACUAAAUGAGUACAGUUUAAUAAUUUGAAAGGAUAAAUAUAGACGGAAAAAAAAAUCAAUAAAUCAAAUAAAAAUAUAUUACCAAAAACCCAACCUAGCUCGAACUGGAUAAGAGUUUGAAAUUUUUUGGAUAAGAGUUUGAAAUAUGUUGAAGAAGAUCAACGUCGAUUUGCUCCGAUCCCACUGACUCUAUUGUCGGUUCUAGUGCUGAUCUGUCUAACUUUCUAGCAAUUGGACAAAAAUCCCCAUUUUCCCUGUGUUUCCGUCUCCUACUGUCCGACACCACGACUUUGGCUGUCGAUUUGCAUCCACCAGUCCCGCUGCAGUCACCAGUCGACGCCACCAAGUCCGGCGCCAUAUCCGCCCACUGCCGCUCCCUCUUUCUCUUCUUUCCCAUCUUUUUACACUUGAGGUAAAAAGCCUAACUUUUUAUUACUUUGAAAUUUCAAGGUUUAGGGGGUAAUGCGAAGAUGGAUUCUACUGGAAUUGCUUAUCUAAUGCAUAUUCAUACAUCUCAGGAGUCGGGUGGAUAAACUCUUUUCCCACACCUCGCAUGUUCAGAAUUAGAUGACUUCAACCUUUGUUUUGCUCAUGUAUUCAGUUUCUUGCAAUUGCAAAUUCAAUUCUAUUAAUUUCUUUUGGAAUCACCAAAUCAGUUUAGUCUAGAAAUAAAAUGCAUUGAAAUACGCACUAAAAAAGUAUCCGAAACUGCAGUUAAUCUGGAAAUACAAGCAAAACAUCAUAAGUAAGUUUUAGUUGAUCUGUGGCUUAUAGCAAAACACCAUAGGUAUUGUUAACUAUCAUAUUGAGAUUUAAAAAAGCUACGGAGUCUAUGGAAAGAAGGUAAACUCGAAGAACUAAUCUAAUCAUCAAUUCCAGAUUCAUCUAAACACUGCCGAGAUACAAGGUAGAGAAAGCUUAAAGCCAUUUUUUUUUAUGUAUGAUCUGUGAAUUAUAUAGGAGUUUGUACUUUGUAUAUAUGCAAGCUGUAGAAGUUUUUAUAAUGUUUGUAGUUUGGAGUGUUAAAGUCGUAUAUUAGAUUUUUUAUUUGGAAAAUUUUCCAUAAAAAUCACUAUAAGUUGUAUUUGAAACUAUAGUUUGGACUUUGGAGUGUUAAAGUCGUAAAAGUUGUAUUUGAAACUUUUUAUAUUUAUGUUUAUAGAAUUAUAGAAUUUGUAUUUGAAACUCUCUAGAUUUGUGUUUAUUGUUUUGUUGAUAUUGCAAAAUGCUGUUUAUUUGUGGAUAUUCUGUGGAUAAAUUAUCCAUAGAUAAUCUGAAACUAAUCGAUUUUGUGGGUAACAAAUAUGUGGAUAAUCUAUGGAUUAUUCACGGAUUUAUCGAUCUUUUUUGUAGUAGUGAUAUAGAUGAUUUUGUGGCUUUUCUUAAUCAUUUUAUCUGUGUUUUCAUAAAUACUAAUAUUACGUAUUUUUAGUUAGACGAUUAAAAAAGUUUGGAUUUCCAAAACAUCAUUUUCCUUGUGAAAAGGUGUUGAAGACUUUUACCUACCAAUUUCCAAAAUCAAUAAUAAAGCCAAAGUCCACUAC